AUGGUUUUGUAAACAUCAAAAUAACAUAAUGACUCUCAAUCUCCCCCUUUUUGAUGAUUAUAAAACAUUACCAAUUGUCGAUUUGUCAUUCAUAAGAAACAUUGAUUUAACAUCAUAAGAUGCUAUUAGUUCAAGAUUUUCAAAAUAGUCAAGUUUUGGUGUAUGUAUUAAGUAACCAAGAUCUCCCCCUAUCAUAAUCAAAUUGAUGCCAAAUCUGUUUUAGCUUUUACUCCCCUUUUCUCUUACGUUUUAUUGAAUCAAAAUUUUCAAGAAUUUGUGCCAAAUUAAGAGUUCUAGGUUAUGUAUCGAGGCAAUGUGGCAAAAGCUUAUGUUUUAUACAUUUUCAUGUAUCGAAAUUACAAAAUUCAGAUGAAAAUUCAGAUUUGCAUGUAUUCGAUGUUCUCCCCCUUAAAUAUUGAUUUCUCUUAUAUUUUUCUCUUAUAUGUAUUUCCC
rnacentral:lncRNA from 1 species